rnacentral:rRNA from 1 species
AUGUCCUUAUGCCGCAAGCAUUCUCUUAACAUCUCUAUGUCAGCCUCCAGUUGAUUAUGCUUAUGCAAAUUGGACUCGAGGGCUGUACCUGUGCUUGAAAUUUCAUCAUCCAGUAAUGUAUAG